rnacentral:rRNA from 1 species
AUGGCUGUUACUCUGUGGUCAAUCUGGUAUGCUAGACGCAAGGCAGUGUAUGAGUCUUUGUUUCAGAGCCCUCAGCAAACAAUCCGUUUUGUGGACAAUUUUAUAUCUGAAUUGGGCCAACUUGAAAGUGGGCAGGGACGUAGGGAGCAAAGAGCACCUCUGACUGCUCAGCCUAAGCGUUGGCUCCCACCACCCAAUGGUUCUGUAAAGAUUAAUGUAGAUGCUGCUAUUGUAAUAUCACAACAUGGAGGAGCUGUCGCGGCAAUGUGCAGAGAUCAAACGGGCCAAUAUUUGGGAUCUUCGGCUGUGGUCUUCCGAGGAAUCAAUGACCCUUUAAUUCUGGAGACAUUUGCAUGUCGUGAAGCAUUAUCGCUAGCAGAUGAUUUGGCCGUUCAAAAUAUCUGUGUUGCUUCGAAUUGCCAAGAAGCGGUUAAUGAUAUUACAAAGGGGACAUGAGGUCCAAAUGUGGCUAUUGUACAUGAAAUAUCAAGCCGAUGUAAUAAUUUCAAUUCCAGUUCCUUUAUUUUCGAGCGUAGGUAUUUUAAUUUUGAGGCUCAUAAUCUUGCCAAGUUUGCUUGUAACCUAGGUGUAGGUAGGCAUGUGUGGUUGGGAAAUCCUCAUGACCCAAACCUUGUACCCAAGACCAUGGUUUUGAAUGAAUAA